UACGUAGGUGGCAAGCGUUGUCCGGAAUUACUGGGCGUAAAGCGUGCGCAGGCGGCGCGUUAAGACAGGUGUGAAAGCCCCGAGCUUAACUUGGGAAUUGCGCUUGUGACUGGCGUGCUGGAGUGUGGCAGAGGGAGGUGGAAUUCCACGUGUAGCAGUGAAAUGCGUAGAGAUGAUGGAGGAACACCGAUGGCGAAGGCAGCCUCCUGGGCCAGCACUGACGCUCAUGCACGAAAGCGUGGGGAGCAAACAGG
rnacentral:rRNA from 1 species